UACGUAGGUGGCCCAGUAAGUCAGUGGUGAAAUCCUGCCGCUUAACGGUAGAACUGCCAUUGAAACUGCUGGGCUUGAGUACAGUUGAGGUAGGCGGAAUGUGUAGUGUAGCGGUGAAAUGCUUAGAUAUUACACAGAACCCCGAUUGCGAAGGCAGCUUACUAAACUGUAACUGACACUGAGGUACGAAAGCGUGGGGAGCGAACAGGAUUAGAUACCCUGGUAGUCC
rnacentral:rRNA from 1 species